rnacentral:lncRNA from 1 species
UACAGCUAGCUGCUAAUUCUCAUUUAGCUCCCGGGGGCGAAGUUGGUAGCAAAGGCCCAUGCAUUGUUGUUGACUGGGUCGGCGACGUGGUCGAAGAGGUUCUCGACGGGUCCCUUGCCCGUGACGAUGGCCUGCACGAAGAAUCCAAACAUGGAGAACAUGGCGAGGCGGCCGUUCUUGAGCUCCUUGACCUUGAGCUCAGCGGCGGUGUCUGGGUCGUCGGCGAGACCGAGGGGGUCAAAGGCGCCACCGGGGUAGAUCUUGUCGAGCCCCUCACCGAGAGGGCCUCCACCAACACGGUAACCCUCGAUGAAGCCCAUGAGCACAACUUGGCAUGCCCAAAUGGCGAGGAUGCUCUGCGCGUGCACGAGGUUAGGGUUGCCCAGGUAGUCCAGGCCGCCCUCGGAGAAGAUCUGCGAGCCGGCCUUGAACCACACCGCCUCGCCGAACUUGACACCAUUCUUGGAGAGGAUCUCCGGGAACACGCACCCGAGCGCGCCAAGCAUCGCCCAACGAGAGUGGAUCACCUCGAGCUCCCUGUUCUUGGCGAACGUCUCUGGGUCAGCUGACAACCCCGCGGUGUCCCAGCCGUAGUCACCGGGGAACUCGCCGGUCAGGUACGACGGCGUCUGCUCGGAGAACGGGCCCAGGUACUUGGGACGGUCAGGGCCGUACCUAUAUAUACACGCACGGUCAUUUCAUCACCAUUAAUUUCAUUCAGGCGAAGCCAAUUGCGCGGUACUUGAUGCAUGUAGUACAUAGAAAUGUAGCUUUGGACGAAGAAAAAGAUAUACUUACCAGAUGCUCUGGGGUGCGCUCUUGACAGUCCGGCGCAUGGUGAUGCGGCCGCCGAAGUCGCCGACGCUGCGGACGAGGUCAUCGCGGCGUGGGGCGGUGCCGAGGAAGCUGGUGGUCUGGUGCAGCGCCGACGCGGCCAUUUCGAUCCCAAUUCAAGUGGUAAGGUCAGUGAGAGAUGAGCUGGUGGCUGGUGUUGUUUGAGUGAGGAUGCCCGGCUCGGGGAGGUGGAUCUUUAUACGGCGCCUGAGAGGCGCGGGGCGAAGCUGGUGGACGCGCGGCGAGACACGUCCCCGCGACCCAAUUGGCUGCUGCUUCGCCUCUGGAUAUGGCGCGGUAUCCAUCCCCCUCCACGCGACCACUCGUCGGCCGCCACCUGGAGCCCAAGAUCGCAUCGCCCACAUCCUACACUAUCCCGACCAUAUAUGCACAUAUGUGCUCUGUUUCAUUUUAUCACGGUACAAUACUUGCCUAGAUCCGGUGAAACCGUGACAAAAUCAAACGACACCACCCACCAGUUUUCAUCUCACUGAUCGACCUGGUGAUGCGAGGUGAUUGAACCUCUCGCAGAUGUUCUUACCUUGCUCCGCUGGAUAAAGAUAUUACGGUUUUGUUAGUUCUAGGUUGUCAGAUUUUUAGUUAGAGAUAAGUUGAUUUUUCGGCCGUUGGAUAUGAUUUGUGCUUUAAAAUUUGCAAAGGAUGAUGAAAAAAAAAAGAUUUUUUACACUGGAUCAUACUGCUCCUCUUAUCCCAUCCGUCCGCUGUGCCUCGAGAUUCGUGCCCGACACCACAUAGUGAAAACUGCCUUCUGACUGCUGCUGAGUCCCACUCCUCAUUUUCCUUCUUCCCCAACCUCAAGCGCCUCUCUCUCUCUCUGCCCCUCUCUCUCUCUCCCCCCCAUGGUGCUGCUCCAUGUUAGGCGUCUCUCUCUCCUCUCCAUGGUGCUGCAUUGCCGCUCCAUGUUUUCACGCCUCUCUCUCCUCUCCAUGGUGAUGCUCUCUCUCUCUCUCUCUCCUAUCCAUGGCGCUGCACCAGUGGCUGCGGCGGCGACGGCACGGCCAUGUGUUGGAGGCGGCAGCAGGCGGUGCGCAUGUGGUGGCGAUAGCGGCCAACAUCGUGCCAUGUGCUUUUGGCGAGCCAGUUUUUUUCUUCGGCACACUAUAGAAGAGGCCAAGAGGGAGUGGUGUGCUCGAGACUCAAGAGUGACUGAAGCUUUCCCUGAAAAAAGAGAGCAAAGUGAGAUCUAAAUAUUAAUCUAAUGGCUCUGAUUCGUCAACUUAGAUCUAAGCCUUUUUUGCUUAAAUCAGGCAAAUUAGAUAUAGCAACGUCCGAUCUAAACCGUCUAAUUUCUUUUGAGUAUAAUGUGUGUUUUUGUUUGGCUUCAGUUUCAUUGUUCCAUGCGAUUUGGUUAAUUUUUUUAUACCAAAAAAGAGAGAUUUGGCUAAUUUUAACCUGAAGAUUGGUGGAUACUGAGCAUCUCCAAUGGGGUCUCCCAAAAGCUAUCCCAAAUGUCUCUUUGGGGGAUAUGGAUAUUUUGUUCUCAAAAUCAUUCCCGAAUGGCAUCCCCAAAACGGACAAAAUUUCCUCUUUGUCCGUCCCCAUCCUCAAAUUGGCCCCAAAUUUGGGGAGGUUUGGGGUGUCCGGAGACCGGACACACACUCACUUCUUAUCCGGCCCGAUCUCACAAAAAGCAGAGAUUCCAGUCCUUCUUCCUCUCCCUCUCUCUCUCUCUCUCUCUCUCCCCCCUCCGCACAUAGUGGAGCCGGAAGAAGUCAUGUGUUGCAUGCGAAUAAUGACAGAGGUCAUGUGCUGCAUGCGAAUUCAAAGACUAUGUGCUGAAGGAACCAGUCAUGCGCUGACACAUGGCAUCUUAUACCAUAUACCAAUAAAAUAUAUCAUAUAUCAUUUACUGACACCAUGUAUUGAACCACAUACAUUGACUGAUAUCAUAUAUCAUUGACUAAUACCAAGGAAAAUAUCAUUCACAUAGCAUAUACCAAUCCAUAUACCAUUGACCCAUAUCAUGUACCAUUGACUCGUAACAAAAUAUAAUACUAAGGUGGGUCGGCCCACCACCACGUGCCAGCUUGUGCCGGCACCACUACAUAGCGGUGCCGGUAGAAUCGCCGCUUUACGUCUACCUCCCUCUCCCUGCUUUCUCUGCUCCCUCUCUCGAUCUCUCUUCCUCUGACUUCUCCUCACCAUCUCUUCUCUCUGGGCGGCGCCGAAUCCGACCGGCGCUGUCUCGACCGCCGCCGCUCCGCCGCGGGUCCUUCCGCGAACGAACUGCUCUGCCUGGGCAAGCUCCACAAGGUCGCGCCACUGCAGAAAGCAUCCGCAGGCUGUGGAGAUUCGCCCGGACCUCGUCCUCCGACGGCAGUACCAAAGCGGCGCCGGCGUUCAGUCCAGGAGCACAUGCAGGGACGAACAGCAGGGUCAAGCUUCAUCCGCUAGCCAACGUAAUCAAAAGACCGGUCUGAUGGAAACUCUAGACAAUUCACUUAUACACUUCAACACCCCGCCCCCCUCACGUGUGACGGGAAGACAAGUCAACACGUGUAAACUCAGAGGUAUGGUGGUUCAAGAGGCCAAUACAUGAACAGAGGGGGUAACAACAAUUUUUAAUAUAAAUUGUGAAAGCCAGGACUUGCCGUUGGGUGACGAGGGCAGACACAGGGCGUACAUAUGUCUAUUUGCCCUCCAAACGGACAAAAUGAGGACAUUUGAGGGCAAAAUUUGGAGGACCCCAUUGGAGAUGCUCUAAGAUCUUGUGGUGUUGCAGUUAUAAAAACCACUCCCUCCGUCCAACAAAAGAUGUCUUAAGUUUGUCAAAAUUUGAAUGUAUAUAGACAUGACUUAGUGUAUAGAUGCAUUCAAAUUUAGUCAAAUUUGGACAUCCUUUGUUGGACGGAGAAAGUAUUUUUGUAAGGCGGUUAUAAGAACUACUAGUACUACACAACCGCGUUUUGCUUUUCUUUUUCCUAAAAUUGAACUAGUACCGAUCAGCCUAUAUAUGCAUCUUCACGUUCUAUUAAUAUCUACACUGAUAACUUAUUGAGUGAAAGAAAAGGUUUUAGGAAUAAUAUAUGUAUAUGAAAAUUUAGAAUCACGUAUGAGUUGGACACAGUAACAGAAACUUGUAGUAUAGAAGUACUCUAUUUCCCUACUACCUUAGACAAUAUAAAUAUUGAGACCAUGUUACUCCCUAUUUAAUAUUCAGAUUUCUUUUUGUUUUGUUCUUGUUGCUGAAUGCAGUUCAAUGUAUUGCUCUAAUUUGAGUUGUCCCUAUAAUUAUUUUUACAAGUUUUGAAAAAAAGGUAGUGUAUGUUAAUUAAGAACCAAGAUUCAUACAAUCAUUCAUAACCACGCAGGACAGCACGGAAUUACUCAACACACCUCCAGUGCACACCUUACUGCAGUAGCUAGCUAGCUCAUGAGCCACAUAAUUGUUCUCUCUUUUAGUAAAAACGAAGCGAAUGCCAGGAUCAAAAGUAGUGACCUGUGGAAUGUCAACCACCAUUGAGCAUCUUGAAGACCGAUUAUCCGCCAAGGAGUAAAGAGCCUGAAUGAAGGAGACGCAAUCGCUUUCAACAAUCAAAGGUGCCGAGGAGUGUUGCCUGGCUAUCUUGAGGCCCUGAAGACAAGCCACACCCUCAGCCAUCUCUGCAUUAGGACAACGAGCAAUGGCGUCCCAAGCUGACAGAAUUACGGUGCCAUGUUCAUUGUCAAUCUUCAUGCGCUAGCCAACGCAACCAAACGAUCGAUCUGAUGAAAAUAAGCAAUCCACUUAUACGCUUCAACACCCCGCCUCACGUGUGACGGGGAAGAUAAGUUAACACAUGUAAACUCAGAAGUAUGGUGGCUCAAGAGGUCAACAUAUGGACGGAGAGGUAACAUCAAUUUUUAAUAUAAAUUGUGAAAGCCAUGACUUUAACAUGAGACAUUUGGCUUUGAUACCAUGUCAAACUUCAUGCGCUAGCCAAUGCAACCAAAAGAUCGAUCUGAUGGGAAGGGCUAGGCAAUCCACUUAUACACUUCAACAUUGAUCAAGGAGAACCGCACCCCAAGUAACAAUGUUCACGCCCGACGAAAAGCUAGCAUUCACGUUGAGUUUGAGCCAUCCCGUGUCUGGUGGUCUCCAGGCCGAAGGUGGACAAGGCUGGACAGUUGCAUGUUCCUCUGCUCGGGUUGUACUACACGAUUUUCCUUCAAGAUCAGGUUCCAG